rnacentral:lncRNA from 1 species
GUUAAGAAAAGUCGAAACCCCUAUAGGUUAGGGAAAUGGCCGAAUGUGGGUAUAGGCUCUAUUGGGUUUUUCUUUUAAUUUUUUUUAUGGUUUGUUUAGUGGAGGAGCAGCAAGGCGUAGGGUCGACUUGGAUUAGUUUGGAUCAUCGGAGUGACUAGAUCUAGUCAUCAACUUCGGCAAAGGUAUGGAUUCUAAGGCCAUUGUGGAGGGUGGCCGAAUGUGUAAGUAUUGUUAAUAGAUGGUUCUCGUUUGGUUUAAUUGUUGUGAGCUGAUCUAUAAGCGGUUGAUUAUAGGAGGAAAUGUGUAGGAGAUUUCAUCAAGGAAUAUCGCAAAACAGGUGUGUAAUGAACCCUUUUUCAUAGCUUAAAACGAUAGAUGCUGAAAAGCCGAGAUGCCAAAAUUCUGGCAUUUCGAGGACGUGUGAGCAAGCGAACUCUUAUUGGUUAGUUAAAUUCGCUGGGUUGAUGAUCGAGAACGUUGGAAAAGGUAAGGGCAUGUUUUUUGGCACUCAUGGUAAGUUGGGCCUCGAGGGGUCAAAAUCGGGCCUAAUGGGCUUCCGGGCUCAUUUGAGCAAAUUAGGUAAAAAGUGAAAACCUAUUAAAGUACACGAAAAGACUGGUAACACCAUUAUGGAAAAUAGGCUAAAUGGGCCUAGAUGACUAAAUCAGCUAUGUAGGGCCUAUUAGGGAUUUUUUGGCCCAAUAACUCGGUAUCGCGAAAAAUGGGCCAAAAUUGCUGUUUAAAACAUAUGUGUAAUAGGCCCAUUUCGCCCGGGCCCAUUAUAAACAAAAAAAUAAUAAAUAUAAAAAAAAAGAACAUAAAUGGCCCAAAAUUAGUCAAAAUCCAAGUUCUUUUACAAAUAAUAAAAUAACCCAAUUAACCCAAAUAAAUCCCCAAACCCAAUAAAAAUAUAACACCCAAUUAGCCCAAAUAACCCACUACCCUAAGCCCAAAACACUAAUGAUUUUUUCAGCAAACCCUCAACACUAGAAACUUCAGCUGCCAGCCUCUAUGCUCCACAACAACUUCUCCACGCCGUGCACACCUGCAACGGAUUAACAACCACAGCGAUUAACAGCAAAGAAAUAACAGAGAAGAGGGAUGAUGAGAGUUUCAAUUUUUUUUUCUUUUUUUUUUGAUUUUUUGGGGGUUUUCGGUUAUAAAAGGCCAUUUGUAAACAAUGUAAGGGGAUUGAUUUUUUUCUUGGAUACAAAUACAAAAUACACAUCAAUAAGAAAAGAAAGGUGAUUUGAGAUUCAAAUCUUUUCUUCUUUUUUUUUUUAGAUCUGAUAUCUUAUCUAGAUUUUUUUUAGUUUUCUUUCUUCUCUUUGGCAUCAAAAAGAUAAAAAGAGGGUGUUGCUUACCUCCGACUUUUCAUUGCGACCCAUCUGCGCGUGGUCGAUCACCAAGUCCGAUGGUGGUGCGGCGGCAUCCAGUCCUUGCCCUUAGAUUGAGGCCGUAACUCUAGCAAAAAGGGAUAAAAUGAAAGGGGUUAUUAGUUGCUGGUAUAAAAGGGCAGAUUCCCAUUCAUUUUUCUUUGAUUUUGAUAAUAAAACAAAACUGCACUAUCUAAGGAAGGGGGAUUUGCGUUUUUGUGCUUCAAAUGGGAGAUUUCAGCAGAUAGUCCUCCCAUUUUGCGCAUUCUUUUUAAUUAAUCCUUAUUUGCAUUUUAUUUGUUUUAAAUUUCUCCUAGAAUUUGCGUGACACUUCAAUUUAGCCCGCACCUAAACUCUGUGCUGUGAGAUCUGGAAUAUUUUCAGUUCUGAUCCCUGUACGUUCGAGCGCAGCGUGCUUUAGUCUUUUACGAUUUCAAUGGUUUAAUUCAUUAAUUACCCCUUUUAAUUUAAUUUUAUUUUAACUGAGUUUUUUUAUUUUGUAUAAUUCAUAAUUAUUUUUUUAAAAAGAU